rnacentral:misc_RNA from 1 species
GGACGUCUCUUUGAAGUAGGGGAUUAGACACCUGAUUCCAGAAGUCUCGAUAGGAUUGUCACUGAGAUCGAGUUGCUCCAGAUUAGGUACGUGGACUAGAGCAUAUCUGAGACAAUCCACAUCGUCCAUCUGUAGAUUGCAGUUCCUUAAAUUAAGCUCCUUUAAUGACUUCAAUGAAUUAUAUGUCCCAUCUGUGCUACUU